rnacentral:rRNA from 1 species
AGAGUUUGAUCCUGGCUCAGAGCGAACGCUGGCGGCAGGCCUAACACAUGCAAGUCGAACGAACUCUUCGGAGUUAGUGGCGGACGGGUGAGUAACACGUGGGAACGUGCCUUUAGGUUCGGAAUAACUCAGGGAAACUUGUGCUAAUACCGAAUGUGCCCUUCGGGGGAAAGAUUUAUCGCCUUUAGAGCGGCCCGCGUCUGAUUAGCUAGUUGGUGAGGUAAAGGCUCACCAAGGCGACGAUCAGUAGCUGGUCUGAGAGGAUGAUCAGCCACAUUGGGACUGAGACACGGCCCAAACUCCUACGGGAGGCAGCAGUGGGGAAUCUUGCGCAAUGGGCGAAAGCCUGACGCAGCCAUGCCGCGUGAAUGAUGAAGGUCUUAGGAUUGUAAAAUUCUUUCACCGGGGACGAUAAUGACGGUACCCGGAGAAGAAGCCCCGGCUAACUUCGUGCCAGCAGCCGCGGUAAUACGAAGGGGGCUAGCGUUGCUCGGAAUUACUGGGCGUAAAGGGAGCGUAGGCGGACAUUUAAGUCAGGGGUGAAAUCCCGGGGCUCAACCUCGGAAUUGCCUUUGAUACUGGGUGUCUUGAGUAUGAGAGAGGUGUGUGGAACUCCGAGUGUAGAGGUGAAAUUCGUAGAUAUUCGGAAGAACACCAGUGGCGAAGGCGACACACUGGCUCAUUACUGACGCUGAGGCUCGAAAGCGUGGGGAGCAAACAGGAUUAGAUACCCUGGUAGUCC